rnacentral:ribozyme from 1 species
AGUAAAAGAAAGAGAUUUAUUGAUUCGGGAUUUGGACGGGAAAACGAAAAAAAGGACCGCCAAAUUUCCUGCUGCUCUCCAUGCUUGAUUGCUUCUCUCGUUCUUUCUUUCUUUCUUUCUUUCUUUCUUU